rfam:Taeniopygia guttata chromosome 2, whole genome shotgun sequence.
GCACCAGUGCUGUAGUGGUAUCAUGCAAGGUUCCCAUUCUUGUGACCUGGGUUUGAUUCCCAGCUGGUGCA